rnacentral:tRNA from 1 species
CAGGGAGACAAACCUAAUCAUGAUGUCUGAGUAAUUUUAAUCUCAGGCCAUGAUUCUGUCACCUUAGGUCGAUCGGUACCUCAAGGAGCGGAAGGGAGAACCUGAGCAAUCAGGGGAGACUUUAUUCUGCUUUUUCAGUUUCUAAACGUUGUCUAGGUCACCCCAUAGCUCCUGGGCCAUUAGCUCAGGUGGUUAGAGCGCACCCCUGAUAAGGGUGAGGUCCCUGGUUCAAGUCCAGGAUGGCCCAUGCACCGCCUGCUAAGCAGGCAGGACUUGCUGGCUGGGGGUUUAGCUCAGUUGGUAGAGCGCCUGCUUUGCAAGCAGGAUGUCAGCGGUUCGAGUCCGCUAACCUCCAUAUCAACGCUAACCCGCAAGCGCAAGCAAGUGAGCUGCUCGGGAGGACCUGGUUGGGAGAGAAAGGAAGAAAGCUGAGGAUGACUCCAGCCUUCAGGAGCCAAGAGAAGCCAUGAAUGUGGUGGAUGAUUGACUUUUGAAUGCUGGACUCACGCUAGUCAAUGAAGAUUGAUUGGCGAGACGUUCAGCGCAGAACCUUGACAACUGCAUAGGUGAGUCUGGAAAGAAAGCAUCUCAUGGAUGUCCAGUAAAAGCUGGAGAUUCUAUUGAGUUUAGAGCCGAGACUUUCCAGUGUUCUUCCAGGAAUCUAGCCAAUCCGGCUAGGUGACGGGAGUUUGAUUGUGGCAUUCAAACCACGAGCCUGACGAAUCAAGAAUUACGCAAGUAAGACUUGAGGAGUUGAGGUGAGCAGGUGAAUCCACGAGAAUAGGCCUCAACAGCCUGAAGCACUGGGAAGAUUAUU